UAUUGCUGGAAUAUUGCUAAAAGCGGCGUAAAACUAUACUCACUCACUCACUCCAAAUGUCACACUCCUCACCUUCAGUCAUCGGCCAACUUGUAAACAUUUUCAUAUCUGAACCAGUCUUUCAUUUCCUGUUUGAUGUUUAUCAAACUGAUGUUUACUGUCCAGUUUUAUUCAAGUUUUCAUUUUCUUCUACAGAGUCUAGUUUUAUUAUUUACGAAGACAAAAAAGCAGGCAUGCAUUCACUUGAUACCGUAGAUCAAACGAGUCGACGAAAACAGCAUAACAUCAACGAAUAUAUACCGACAUCUUUUCGUUUCUUGGCGUGACGUAUAAUGGACGGUGACGUUUUGCUUUUGACAGAAAAAGUGCACAUUCAGGACCGAUAAGUGGUACAUUAAGUGAUAAAAUCAGCUGAUUUCAUCCGUUUCGAAACAGGUUUUGUGCCGGUUGGGAUAAAAGCAUAUCUGAAAGGUACAUAACUGCAUCAUAACACACUAUCUAUCUUGAUGUAUGCAAUCAAAUUGUGAAAAAAAUAUUCAUAUGUGUCUUCGGGAUAUUUUCACGACUUAGUUCAUUAAAGCCAAUCAACUGUACCAAUGUGUUGUACUCAUAUGGUCAAAACAGACAUUUUAAAUAACUUUUGUAUUUAUUGACAUUAACUGUUCAAAACUAAAUGUUUGGUUGGCAAGUGAAAGUUAUCAUGGUAACUAAUACAUUGACAUUGUACACGUGGUUUCCUUUUUCUUUUGUUUCCAUGGAUAAGAUGUAGGAAGUUAUCAGUGUUUCCCAUGUCCUGCAAGAACACGAACAACCAAAUAUCCUUAGUGUUUGUCAGCUCGAAAAGCUGUCCAAAGGUCUGUUAUGGCCUGCUGGUUAAAACUUUCACCACGUUUAAGAUAGGCCCCUCCAUGUUCGAUUCCCCACCAGGGUACAAUGUGUGAAGCCCAUUUCCGGUGUCCCCAGCUGUGAUAUUGCCUUUAAUAUUACUACAAGCGGUGGAAAACCUUCCCCACUCACUCACGCCAUCUUAGAGUAGACUCCAAUUCUCUGGACGAAUACCCGUACUGAUCAAAAGCAACAACAGGGUUUGUUUCUGGAUUUACCUACCGUACAACUUGUUUGAUUAUAUCUAAGGGAUGUCUUCAGUUUGUUGAACACUUCUACUUUGGUCAUCAUGCCUAACAUCUGAUUCUGAUUUCUUUGUUAGUAACUCUUACGAAGCCUUGAAUUCGUGAACAACACCAUCGUCAUUCAUGGCCUUGACUCAAUCCAUCUUAGUAAUUGGGAUGAACUCUGUUAAACCAGAAACCCCACAGUCACCAAAUGAAAGCUAAGAGCACCAUCCACAUCUUAAGAGAUCUCUGCAAGAAGCUGAGCAUGUCUUUAUAAAUCAUUGUCAAACAGUGAUGAUAUCAGGUGUUCGCGAAAAGGUGAGUAUAUCCUGAAAACAUGCCUAUUCUCGGCAGUUGCACGAAUGGUGCGAGUCACAAUAGGAAACUAUAACUCAAAAUACUGACUUUAUAUACUCCGUUUGUGCAACUAUAUAUUAUGUUUAGCACUAUCUUGUAAAACGUAUACAUGUACUAACCAGCUGUGUUAACUUUUUACCUGGAGAGGUAUUUAAAUAAGCCUGAUUUGCUUUGUUACCAAUCCAGAUUUCUUCGAAAUAAAAGUAUGUUUAAACCAAAUAGGAAAAUGCCUUGGACAUGAUUUUUUGCCACUGAUGCGUCGAAUAUUAAAAUGCCCUCUACAUGUCUACCAUAAAUCUUUUUGAAAGCUUGCCUGAGGCCUUGUAUGCUAUAACCUUCAUCGGAUAACUUCUAGGCAAGAGAAUGCUCUUAGAAAUCCACAUAUUCUGGUACUAUUUUGACUGAGUCCCUUUCGGGAUUCGAGUCAACCACCUACUGAGAGAGUGUAAUCCAAAAUAUAACAUAUGUUACAUUUGACCACUUUCAUAAGUCAAGUCAUUGUGUGGCAAUGGGAGGCACUUGUCAGACGGGUAUUAAAAGUACGUGAUCAAGACUACCAAUUGUCAGACAAUUCGUGUGCUGGUGAUUAGGUGCCUGACUCUCAGAGUCAAUUCAAUUUGUGCUUAACUUUCAUCAUGUAUUCAUAAGUUGGCCUUAUUGAAAUUAAUAUUUCAUCGAAUGAGUCAUUGUCGACACCUUAUCACCUGAAACUCCUAAUAUAAUCACUAUAUGAUAAAAAAUGCAAGACUAACCUGACUGGAUUAUCUAACAUAACACAUUCCACUGGGCGGAAAGUGAAAAAGAGCUGUGGAUAAUCUAACAUAACACAUUCCACUGGGCGGAAAGUGAGAAAGAGCUGUGGAUUAUCUAACAUAACACAUUCCACUGGGCGGAAAGUGAGAAAGAGCUGUGGAAGAAGGGAAUGUGGAAAAUGCUGUGGAACUUACUGGACCAUCUUCCAAGUUCUGUGAAGUGUAUGCAAGAGUUAUUAUUAGUGUGGAAAGCACUGUUUAUUAAUAUUCUGGGCAAAAUAUGUCAGGAUAUUGGUAUUUUUAUGAUUUAUAUUUUAUCAGUGUGUCAAUGAAUAAAUAGAUCAUUGUUCAUAAUUUCAAAAUUUAUAUAUAUCCCAAACUAUUUUUGUCCAGUAUAGUAACCGUUGUGUACCCAGUAGUUUUGUACAGAGUUCAGUAUGAUGCGGAUGCACUGUUGAAACGUGUUACUAGGAAGCUCUACUUAUAAUUAUGGACUAUGUUUUUGUCGCUUAUAUUUAUCAAUCCAAUGGAGAUAAAGGAGAACUUCCUAAAGACAUGUGACCGUUUGAAACAAUGUGUGUUAGUAUAUCUAUAUAUUGUAUUGGCUUGUGUUGAAUGAUUAUGAACAUUAAACACGUCAGGACACACCCA